rnacentral:rRNA from 1 species
UGGCUCAGAACGAACGCUGGCGGCGUGCUUAACACAUGCAAGUUGAGCCGUAAUAGAUGUAGCAAUACGUGCUCACGAGCGGCAUACUGGUGAUGUUUGCUUCGUAAUCUACCCAGUAGUGGGUAAUAACUAGCCUAAAGGUUGGCUAAUACCGCAUACGUCCUACGGGAGAAAGCGGGGGAUCGUAAGACCUCGCGCUAUCCGAUUAGCCGAAGCCUUAUUAGCUAGUUGGUAGGGUAACCCCCUACCAAGAGGAAAAACCGUAUCUGGUAUCAGAGGACGACCAGCCACAC